UCGCAUAACUGCAGGUCAUCUUGGCCUCGCGGAAUGUUGCGUUUGGGAGAGUCUCCUCACGGUCUGGCUGGCAAGUCAAAGUCCAACUUGACAGUGGCCACUGCCCAUAGAGGGUGAUAGGCCCGUAAGGCUGCCGGCUGGCUGUGGUGACUUUUCCCUCGAGUCGGGUUGCUUGGGAGUGCAGCCCAAAGAGCGAGGUAAACUCCUCGUAAGCCUAAAUAUCACCCCAAGACCGAUAGCAAACAAGUACGGUGACGGAAGAUUGAAAAGAACUUUGAAGAGAGAGUUCAAUAGUACGUGAAACUGUGUGGUGGUAAACGGAGGGGUUCUCGAAGUUUCUGUGUGGAACUCAGCCUUGGAGUGGGGCAGUCAGGUUGUAUCUGAUCAGCAAUGACUCUGCAGCUUGUCUGGCUCUGCUCACGGGUGCAUUUCCCACGCAGUUUACGGUAGGAACUGUUUAGCGCAGACCUAAGGCUCUGGGAGAAGUUGUAGGCCUAGCUUGCAGCCCUGGAUGUUCUGGCUUUGCACUAGACAGGUAUUUGAGGAAACUCGUAUAGCGAGCAAUGCUCUGUUGCGGUUUCCAUCUCUCUACCGAGUAGGUCGGUGGCCCCUCCGACCCGUCUUGAAACACGGACCAAGGAGUCUAACAUGUAUGCGAGCCAUUGAGUUGACUAAACUUAGAGGCGUAGUGAAAGCAAAGAGUAGCUUGUCUGCUCGAGGGAGGAUCCGUAAGGCGCACUCCCGCGACUUCCAAUCAACCUCGCAUUGUUGGGAGUACGCAGAGCAUAAAUGUUGGGACCCGAAAGAUGGUGAACUAUGCCUGGCCAGGAUGAAGUCAGGGGAAACCCUGAUGGAGGUCCGUAGCGAUCUGA
rnacentral:rRNA from 1 species